UACGUAGGGCGCAAGCGUUGUCCGGAAUUAUUGGGCGUAAAGAGCUCGUAGGCGGCCUGUUGCGUCCGCUGUGAAAUCCCGGGGCUUAACCCCGGGCUUGCAGUGGAUACGGGCAGGCUGGAGGCAGGCAGGGGAGAACGGAAUUCCCGGUGUAGCGGUGAAAUGCGCAGAUAUCGGGAGGAACACCGGUGGCGAAGGCGGUCCUCUGGGCCUGUACUGACGCUGAGGAGCGAAAGCGUGGGGAGCGAACAGG
rnacentral:rRNA from 1 species